AUCCGAAGAGGACACGCUCAAAGCCAAGGCCAGCUGCACCUGAUACUCCUCCUCCGAUGCAUAAUAGUCCUGCUGCUGCUGCCGAUUACUAGUGCCCGUAUUAUUAUUAUUACUAUUUUUGUUGUUAUUAUUGUUGCUAGCGUCACUGCUAGUACUGGUGGCAGCGGCGGAGGGGGUGGUGGUUGAAGGAGAGGCACGGUUGUCCGAGGCGGCGGGAGGGGGAGAUUGUGGUGGUGCUGUUGACUGCGGGAUCUCGUUGGAACGGUUGGGAUGGUGGUGAAGCUUCUUGAAAAUGUGCUUCAUCUCGUCGCCUUCUCCGUUUUUCUGUAUUAUCAAGGGACUUUAUUUUCUUCACCUUAUUUUCGUUCUCUUUUCCUUUUUUUUUUCUUUUUCCUUUUCAACGCAGUGAGCAUAGGCAAUUUAAUUUAAUUUAAUUAUUUAGGAAGAUCUGGGUCAGCGGAAAAAAAUAAAAUGGGGAAUUUGGUUAAAAACCUUCAAUAAGUCCUUGCUUUAGUUUUAAUAGGAAAAAAAAAAGAUUUUUCAGUAAAUUCUAAUAUAAAAUUUAAUUAAAUACGUGGCUAAAAAACUUGAUAAAAUUAGGCGCCUGUUUGGCUUUUUUUUUUU
rnacentral:lncRNA from 1 species